UACGUAGGGUGCAAGCGUUGUCCGGAAUUAUUGGGCGUAAAGAGCUCGUAGGCGGUUUGUCGCGUCGGCUGUGAAAGCCCGGAGCUCAACUCCGGGUCUGCAGUCGAUACGGGCAGGCUCGAGUUCGGUAGGGGAGACUGGAAUUCCUGGUGUAGCGGUGAAAUGCGCAGAUAUCAGGAGGAACACCGGUGGCGAAGGCGGGUCUCUGGGCCGAUAUUGACGCUGAGGAGCGAAAGCGUGGGGAGCGAACAGG
rnacentral:rRNA from 1 species